GGGAGGCAGCAGUGGGGAAUAUUGGACAAUGGGGGCAACCCUGAUCCAGCCAUGCCGCGUGAGUGAUGAAGGCCUUAGGGUUGUAAAGCUCUUGUGCGGGAAGAUAAUGACGGUACCGCAAGAAUAAGCCCCGGCUAACUUCGUGCCAGCAGCCGCGGUAAUACGAAGGGGGCUAGCGUUGCUCGAAAUCACUGGGCGUAAAGCGCACGUAGGCGGACUCUUAAGUCGGGGGUGAAAUCCUGGAGCUCAACUCCAGAACUGCCUUCGAUACUGGGAGUCUUGAGUUCGGGAGAGGUGAGUGGAACUGCGAGUGUAGAGGUGAAAUUCGUAGAUAUUCGCAAGAACACCAGUGGCGAAGGCGGCUCACUGGCCCGAUACUGACGCUGAGGUGCGAAAGCGUGGGGAGCAAACAGGAUUAGAUACCCCUGUAGUCC
rnacentral:rRNA from 1 species